UAUUGCGGGCUACCGCAGCCGCCAGCAGAUCGGGCUAGUCCUGCAUCGCCGGCGAGCUACGCCGCCACCAUGUCGGCAACGCCACUACAUCGAGGCCGCCACCAGUUCUACGCCGCCGCAACAUCCAGAGACGCCGCCAGACAUGGAUGGUCAAGGCGCUAGCGAGGAGUGUGAAGAGUAUCACCUCAUGUUUAGUAAGACCUUCAGAAGUGAGGAUGAAGGAUAUGAGUUCUAUAACGAUUAUGCAAAGGUCAAAGGGUUCAGUAUUAGGAAGGAGGAGGUGAAAUAUUUGCCAGUCACACACCUGGUUCAGAUGGACGAUGCAAGCUAAAGAUGGUUUCGUACCUGAGGGAAAUAACAGUAGACACGUUUGGUCUGAACAGGUAUGGACAAUGUCGAGUCGCUGCUUAACCCUGACAAAGCCUAUGCGAGCCCACAAGUUCUUACUAAUAGAAAUCAUCAUCUUUCCGCUCAAGUUGGUGGUACAAGAAGGAAUAGUACUCAGCUUGGUACCAUCUCUACUCAGAGGGUUUUGCUGACUCGUGGAAGGACCCGAAGGAACCGGUAACUAACUGGUGUAUAAGGGAGACAGAUAUCUGACCUAUUUGUAACCGGUGGUCUAGGUGUCCGUCAGUUGAGUUCUUGUAUCUGAGUAUGACUAGUUUGUUUCCUAGUACCUUUGCAGUGCUGUGGUUUCUCAUUGUUUUGUGACCCUGGUUGAUGUAAAUGCCAGUUUUACUUUUACCUAAUGAAGAGCUCCGUUUGAUUAUUACAGUUCCA